GCCCCCCCCGGCGGGGCGCGGCGCCCCCGGCGGGGGGGGGGGGGUAAUAAACACACCGUAUUUUUGUCAACAACCCCCCCUCUCUUUCUUUUUUUUUGGGAGGGAAUAUAGGCCCCCCAAGAAAAAAAAUUUUGGGUUUUAAAUACCCCUCUUAAAACACCCCCCCCAAAGUAUCGCCCUUUUUUUUCCAGGGUUUAAAAGGGUUAGGGGUAAAAAAAAGGGGCCCUGCGGGCCCCUUUUAUUUUUUUGGGGAGGUUAAAGGGCUCACCAAAGAUUUUCGGAUGGUUAGGGGGUUUGGAGAGGGUUUAUCCCCCCCCCCGGGUAAUGGGGACCCGGGCCCAGAUUCUUACCGGGAGGCACCAGUGAGGAAUAUUGGCCAAUGGACGAAAAUUCGGACGCAGCCAUUGCCGCGGAAAGGAUGAAGGGCGCUACGCGUUGUAAACUUCUUUUAUAUACCAAGAAACCUUCGGAGGUGUCGGGAGCUGACGGUAGUAUAUGAAUAAGCACCGGCUAACUCCGUGCCAGCAGCCGCGGUAAUACGGAGGGUGCAAGCGUUAUCCGGAUUUAUUGGGUUAAAAGGGUCCGUAGGCGGAUCAUUAAGUCAGUGGUGAAAUCCGACAGCUCAACUGUCGAACUGCCAUUGAUACUGGUGAUCUUGAGUACGGUUGAAGUAGGCGGAAUAUGACAUGUAGCGGUGAAAUGCUUAGAUAUGUCAUAGAACACCGAUUGCGAAGGCAGCCUACUAAGCCGUUACUGACGCUGAGGGACGAAAGUGGGGGGAGCGAACAGGAUUAGAUACCCUGGUAGUCCACACCGUAAACGAUGAUUACUCGGUAUUGGCUUUAUUGUCAGUGCCCAAGCGAAAGUGAUAAGUAAUCCACCUGGGGAGUACGGCCGUAAGGUUGAAACUCAAAGGAAUUGACGGGGGCCCGCACAAGCGGUGGAGCAUGUGGUUUAAUUCGAUGAUACGCGAGGAACCUCACCAGGGCUUAAAUGUAGAACGACCGGGGUGGAAACACCCCCUUUUUCGAACGGUCUACAAGGUGCUGCAUGGUUGUCGUCAGCUCGUGCUGUGAAGUGUCGGGUUAAGUCCCAUAACGAGCGCAACCCCUAUUUCUAGUUGCCAGCGGUUCGGCCGGGGACUCUAGAGAAACUGCCAGCGUAAGCUGUGAGGAAGGUGGGGACGACGUCAAAUCAUCACGGCCCUUACGUCCUGGGCCACACACGUGCUACAAUGGUGGGGACAACGAGUUGCCAACCCGCGGGGGUGAGCUAAUCUCUCAAACCCCAUCUCAGUUCGGAUCAAAGUCUGCAACUCGACUCCGUGAAGUUGGAAUCGCUAGUAAUCGCGCAUCAGCCAUGGCGUCGUGAAUCGCCCCCC
rnacentral:rRNA from 1 species